rnacentral:rRNA from 1 species
AUACGGAGGGUGCAAACGUUGCUCGGAUUUAUUGGGCGUAAAGCGCGUGUAGGCGGUUGAUUAAGUCUUGUGUGAAAGCCCUCGGCUUAACCGAGGAAUUGCGCUGGAUACUGGUCAACUAGAGUACGGGAGAGGGUAGCGGAAUUCCCGGUGUAGAGGUGAAAUUCGUAGAUAUCGGGAGGAACACCAGUGGCGAAGGCGGCUACCUGGACCGAUACUGACGCUGAGACGCGAAAGCGUGGGGAGCAAACAGGAUUAGAAACCCCGGUAGUCC